UAGAAUGCAGUCGAACGGGCCUGAUUUCGGUCAGGCUAGUGGCGGACGGGUGAGUAACACGUGGGUGAUCUACCCCAAAGUCUGGGACAACUAGGGGAAACCUUAGCUAAUCCCGGAUGGUGAGGCUUCUCCUGUGAAGUCUCUAAAGAUUUAUCGCUUUGGGAUGAGCCCGCGGCGCAUCAGCUAGUUGGUGGGGUAAUGGCCUACCAAGGCGACGACGCGUAGCUGGUCUGAGAGGACGACCAGCCACAGGAGCACUGAGACACGGGCUCCACUCCUACGGGAGGCAGCAGUUAGGAAUCUUCGUCAAUGGGCGAAAGCCUGAACGAGCGACGCCGCUUGAGGGACGAAGCCCUUCGGGGUGUAAACCUCUGAACAGGGGACGAUGAUGACGGUACCCUGCUAAUAGCACCGGCUAACUCCGUGCCAGCAGCCGCGGUAAUACGGAGGGUGCGAGCGUUACCCGGAUUUACUGGGCGUAAAGGGCGUGUAGGCGGUUUUCUAAGUCCGGGGCUAAAGACCAGGGCUCAACCCUGGGUUUGCCUUGGAUACUGGAAAGCUCGACGGCUGGAGGGGGCAGCGGAAUUUCCGGAGUAGCGGUGAAAUGCGCAGAUACCGGAAGGAACGCCAAUAGCGAAGGCAGCUGCCUGGACAGUACGUGACGCUGAGGCGCGAAAGCGUGGGGAGCAAACCGGAUUAGAUACCCGGGUAGUCCACGCCCUAAACGAUGAGUGCUGGGUGUCCGGCGUUUGCCGGGUGCCGAAGCUAACGCGUUAAGCACUCCGCCUGGGAAGUACGGUCGCAAGACUGAAACUCAAG
rnacentral:rRNA from 1 species